rnacentral:sRNA from 1 species
AGCAGCCGCGGUAAUUCCAGCUCCAAUAGCGUAUAUUAAAGUUGUUGCAGUUAAAAAGCUCGUAGUUGAAUUUCGGGGUCAGUAGGUCGGUCGUGCCACAGGUAUGCACUGGUCUCACUGAUUCCUCCUUCCUGAUGAACCGUAAUGCCAUUAAUUUGGUGUUGCGGGGAGACUGGACUGUUACUUUGAAAAAUUAGAGUGUUUAAAGCAGGCUAACGCUUGAAUACAUUAGCAUGGAAUAACGGAAUAGGACGUUCGAUCUUAUUUUGUUGGUUUCUAAGAUUGACGUAAUGAUUAAUAGGGAUAGUUGGGGGCAUUAGUAUUCAAUUGUCAGAGGUGAAAUUCUUGGAUUUAUUGAAGACUAACUACUGCGAAAGCAUUUGCCAAGGAUGUUUUC